UGUAGGACUCAUAGUCCACAAGUAUUAGGACUCUUCAUCAGCCAUCAGAUCAGAUAGAAACCUCUAAUGUGUGUGACCCCGCAGGUUCGAACCUAAGCCGGUAGCACAGGAACCAAUUCCUGUACUAAUCGAAGUGACUAUCUAGCAAUGGUACCCGAUGAUCGGAUAGGUCGAAUGGUCGCAAUCGCAACACUCAGAACCUAC
rnacentral:lncRNA from 1 species